rnacentral:lncRNA from 1 species
AUUAGCUGGGUGUGGUGGUACAUGCCUGUAGUCCCAGCUACUCUGGAGGCAUGAGAAUUGCUUGAACCCGGGAGGCGGAGGUUGGGUUGUGGUGAGCCAAGAUCGUGCCAAUGCACACCAACCUGGGUGACAAAAUGAGAAUCUGUCUCAAAAAAUAAAAUAAAAUCGAAGUCAAAACAUGGUACUUUUUUGCUCAAAACCCUCCAUUGGCUCACUGUUUCGCUCUAAGUAAAAGCCUUACAAGUCCUUACAAACACUUGAUCUGACAUUCUACUCUCCUGGGGAUUCCUGAUCUCAUUCAUCUCUUACCCUUUCCCUCCACACUGAUCCCUUGCUGUUCCUAGAACAAGCUGAGCACACUCAGCCCCGAGCCCCCUGCACUAGCUGUUCCCUCUGCUGCGAUCGCUGUUUCCCCAGAUACCUGAAUGGCUCCUCCAUCACCUUCUUCAAGGGUUUGCUCGAAUGUCCUCCACUUAGUGAGGCCUGCUGUGAGCACCCCUAGUAAAACUACCAGACCCCUCACAUGCACUCUGUAUUUCCCUUUACCGUGCCCUACUUUCCCUGUCACUUCAUUUCUUUCUUUCUUUCUUUUUUUUUUUGAAGCGGAGUCUCGC